rnacentral:tRNA from 1 species
GGGGUUAUAGCUCAGCUGGGAGAGUGCUUGCAUGGCAUGCAAGAGGUCGGCGGUUCGAUCCCGCCUAGCUCCACCA